AUUAUAACUAGGCAACCGAUGCGGAUCUUGGUUCAUUUGGCCAAGUCACUUACGAGCUGAGAGGCAGUCAGUCUUCAUUUUUUGCUGUCGAUCCUAAUACUGGUAACAUCACAGCAGCAAGAACCCUUGACUAUGAAGAAGUCCACAGCUACCAGUUUUAUGUGAUCGCUAGUGAUGGUGGUGGAAUAUUCAAGGAAGAAGCAACUGCUACAAUAAAUGUUGCUUUACGGGAUGUCAAUGRCAACGAMCCAGUCUUCACUGGAACGCCAUACACAAGCAAGAUCAAAGAAAAUGUAGGCGCYGGCGUCAUUGCAAUUAAGGUGACCGUCAGCGACAAAGAUAACGACAACAAUGGAAGAGUUUCCUUGAGCAUUACAUCUGGUAACAUCGAUAACGCUUUUGCUAUCAAUGCAACUGGAUUCAUCACGACAACCAAAUCACUGGACAGAGAAGCCACAGCCUCGUAUACGUUAACGGUAC